UUUGACCCAGUCCUAAAAAACCCAGGACCGUCCAUUUAUGACCGGGUAGUCCAUUAUGUUUUCUACAAUACUAUUUAAGAACCAAACACCAAUUUUAUAUUCCCCUUUUAUGGUCAAAUUCGCGAUGGUGUUGAUGAUGAUCUUAUUAUUUUUCCAGGUUCUUGGUAAUCCUUCCAUUGCUGUAAAGAUCGGUGUGACUUCCCUUUAUAAGCUCAAAACACCAUCCUCGUAGAUCUGAAGUACAAACUCGAUAAUCUCUUAAAUCAUAAUGACAAUCAAAGAGUUAUUAAGAUAGAUUAUUGUUCCACCAUGAUUAACGUUGUCAGAAAGAUAUGAUUUAAUAAGUUUGAGCUUAAGACUGAGGAAGAUGUAAGAGCAAUGUGGAGUACAUUUCAUCAUUGCAAAAAUAAUGGUUUUAUCAAGGUGGAUGUAAUACUUAAAAGAUCAACGGCAAUAUUCUAAAAAUGAUGAAAUGUUCCAACAGAAUCGUUGAUAAUGCGAUGUUAUUUUAGAUUUAUGUCAAGAUAUGUUAUGUCUCACUAAAAAUAAGUAAAUAAAUAAAAGUCUACCAUAUUUUACAAAAAUUCAGUGUCAUCUCAUCCUUAUCAAUUAAUUCGUAUAUUUU